rnacentral:rRNA from 1 species
CCUACGGGCGGCUGCAGUGGGGAAUAUUGCACAAUGGGCGCAAGCCUGAUGCAGCCAUGCCGCGUGUGUGAAGAAGGCCUUCGGGUUGUAAAGCACUUUCAGCGGGGAGGCAGGCGGUGAGGUUAAUAACCUCAUCGAUUGACGUUACCCGCAGAAGAAGCACCGGCUAACUCCGUGCCAGCAGCCGCGGUAAUACGGAGGGUGCAAGCGUUAAUCGGAAUUACUGGGCGUAAAGCGCACGCAGGCGGUCUGUCAAGUCGGAUGUGAAAUCCCCGGGCUCAACCUGGGAACUGCAUUCGAAACUGGCAGGCUAGAGUCUUGUAGAGGGGGGUAGAAUUCCAGGUGUAGCGGUGAAAUGCGUAGAGAUCUGGAGGAAUACCGGUGGCGAAGGCGGCCCCCUGGACAAAGACUGACGCUCAGGUGCGAAAGCGUGGGGAGCAAACAGGAUUAGAUACCCGGGUAGUC